rnacentral:tRNA from 1 species
GCUCCCUUCGUCUAUCGGUUAGGACGUCAGGUUUUCAACCUGAAAAGAAGGGUUCGACUCCCUUAGGGAGCGCCA